rnacentral:lncRNA from 1 species
CCAGUUAGCUCCCGCGUGGGAUGGCGUGGACCUGGUGCGAGUUUCCGUGAGCGAGGAUUGCAGGACUGGCCUGAGUCAGAGCACGGGGACUCUUCUGGGCUGGCCCCUGCUCGCAAACUGCCCAUCUAAUUCCUGUGCCAGCCAUCAGGAUCCACAGGGAUAUCAAACAAGAGGUUUGGGCUACCGCUGCCCUCUCUAGAGAGCUUGCAGCUCCCAGCUUCUUACGGCUGCUCCAGUCCACGGCUGUCACCAACUAUCUCCGCAAUUCCUUCUUCCUCACACUCAUUCCCGUGGGAGCAAUCGGGUGCGCGAUGGACAAGGACCAAGGGAAAACAGGAGGGGUCAAAGGCUAUUUUCCAAAGAGCCCUCUUUAUGUCAUGGGUUGCACCACACUGCUGUGCCUCAGCUUUGGCUACAUUUGGUAAGUGGAUAGUUUUGUGAAGCAAGAGUCUCUGUCACACCACUUCUAAGAUGGUUAUUGUUACAAAAGAC